rnacentral:lncRNA from 1 species
CCAGGAAGCCACCUCUGAAACACAAUCAUCUGGGAAGAAGCACCCUCAUCUCCCAGUUCCCGUGGGGGGCUAGAAGUCUGACUCCUGUGGGAGCUUGCUCCAAGUUGCAAAGCUAUCUCGUGUCCUAAAGGUAUGAGAAGUUUGUUUUUCCUCUGAAUAGAGCUAUGCAGCUCACACAGAUGGGCACCCCCAGGACCAGGGGACUCUAGGAUGAACUCUACAUUGACAAAUGGUGCCAUCAAGGCCUCUCCUGGAGGACUAGUUAUCGCUUCACCUUGAUAACGUGUAUGUGGUGUCUUGUAUCUGCUUGGCUAUGUUCGGGGUGAGAUUUCCUUCUGUCUUUCCAAUCUCUUGGCAGACUGACUGCGAUGCAUGCCACAUUCUGGUUUAGAGCUUACUCAGUAAUAAAAGUGUUUUCUUUCCUUUCUACCUUUGUGGAGAGGGCUUCUGGGUUGGGAGGAGAUUUUGCUUUUAUUUACAUUUCCCCCAACAAGGGAUAGGGGAGCAUCUGGGAGAGUCCUUGUCUUACUGGCAGAGAGAAGCCGGACUCCUAUGGAGUCUUAAAAGGGGUCUGUGGACACCUCUCUUCCCUGCCCAUAUCUGGCACAGGGUCAGUGCACCACGCUUCACCCUCCUGCCUUAUCACCCUGAGUCAUCGGGGGACAAAGUGCAAUCACCCUCCACUCACCCCCUGAACCUUCUUUCUGGGACCCUCUCUGAGACAGAUGGCCUGUGCCUACACCCCACAUUUCCUGGGGAGGAAUCCUCUCCCUAUGCUUUCUUCAGCUAUCUCCCCCAUUUUCCAGGCUCCAAGGGCCUGUGAGUGAAUGGCUGUCAAGUGAAUUGUCCCCCCUCAAAUUCCUACGUUGAAAUCCUAACCCCAGGGACCUGAGAAUGUGCCUGUUUGGAGAGAGGUCUUUAAAGUGGUAACUGAAGUAAAAUGAGGUCGUGCAGGGGAGGAAAAAAUCUUCCUUCUACCCUUCUUGGAUAUGCGGCCGGUCUAAGAAUGAAGCUGACCUAAAAUUGAUAAGCAGGAGGAAAAAACCAAUCAGUUUAAUUACAUACGUAUGCAUGGGAAUUUCACCAAAGUAUGAGACUCAGUGAGGCGGGCAGCCAGAUGAUUGAGAUCUAUGCCACCCUGAGCUACAGAAAGGACAGAGGUUUGGAGUUUCAGUGGGGAGCAGGUGGGGUGGCGGGAGACAAAUUAUGGGAAAGGGAGGGAGGAGAUUAUGGUAGAGUUUACUUUGUUAUGCAGAUGACAGUCUCUCAGGUAACAAAAUUAUCUCUGGGAGUAGUCCUCUUUCUGGAACUAUACUUUGACUAAUGGAACUUUCCUUUACAAGAGGGGAGAUAUGUAUUUUAAGCGGUUAGGGGGGAGGCAAAGAACUUUUUCUGUGUCUGCUGGUUUCCUAUCACUUUAACUCAAAGUGGCACCUUCUGAACCCCUUCAGCCCUAAUCCAACGUGACUGGUGUCCUUGUCAGGGGAGAAGGACACACACCAGGGGAAGGUCCCGUGAAGACACAGAAAGAACAUGAACCGUCUGUGAGCCCACAAGAGAGGCCUCACAAGAAGACAGAUGCCUUGAUGCUGGGCUUCCAGUCUCCAGAAGUGUGGCAAAACAGGUGGGUGUGGUUUAAGCUGCUCAGUCUGUGGCAUUCUGUUACUGCAGUGCUAGCAAACUGAUACUAUGACCCAGGAGCCUUUCCGCAUGUGUCCCCUGGUCAUCUUACUGUUUUCCCGACAUGGACAGGGAGUCACAGGAGGCCUCAGAAACUUCGGCUGUAAUAACACAAAAAACACCAAUGCGGUCAUUUCCUACACGUAUUGAUCGAAAAAGUCUCCCGACGCCCUCUCUUCUGUUUAAUCAAGGCGGGUACACAAACGUCUUAGCAGCCGAGGAAAGCUCUCCCUCCAUCCUGUCCCGUAGUGGGCCCACGGGUGCCUCUCAUGAUAAUACCAGAGACUACUGAAACAGGUUAUUUUCUUAGUGCCCUUUUGCUUGUAGUCUGUGUGCUUUUGAGACAGGAAAUCUAUUCCGAGUUUGAGUGUGUUUUUGAUGCCACGAUUCUUCCGUGUUAGGAACUGAGCUAUGGAAGAUAUUUUACAUGUGAUUUUACCUGGAAUUUACUUUUGGUUCAUCCUCAGUGUGUCGGUUUUGGGGCCGAUUCCAGACACCUGUUUACAACCGCUCCCCAGGGCGUGCGCCCAGGUGGAUGGCAGGGACCCUGCCUCGAGUGGGCAAGAGAGUGACGAUCUUGCUGCACCAGAUAGAAAAUGCAACUGAGUGAAAUUUGAUUUGUGGCUUGUGGACAAGUUCACUCCAGGCAGGAAUAAAGCAUUUGAUUAAACUGCCAUUUACGGAAUCAUUAGUUUCCUGCUGUGCACGCUUGAUUGCUUGUGUGCUUAAAGCCCGCAUCUCAUUUGUGAUUCCCUGUGUCAGGAGUUUUGAGUGGAACGCAGCCUGUUGCUUCUUCCACGCAGCUUGAGUGUCUUGAACUGCCCCAUUUUGUUAUGCUCGGAGACAAUGGUGAACACGUUGGCUGUGGAAUCACAGCAGUGGUAGUCAUGUCAUUAGAUUAGAAACCAGGACAAUUGUCCAGUCAUCACGCUUUGUAGAGGCAGCACGAGCCCUGCUGGUUAUGGAAUACAUAAUACUUGGAUGCCAUUUUAUUAAUUAGCAUUUUCCCCUGCUUGCCUGGGAUGACGGUUCCUGAGUUCUAAGUGAAUGUGAGCACAGACAACAAAGAACUGCCUCAGUGUCCCAGUUACCAUGCCAACUAUCUUCUAUUCACUUUCUGAUGACAUUCUUGAUUGAUUCUUUAGGGAACUCUGGGUACCACACGAGCUUAAGGCUGUCUUUCUUCUUGCUAUCUUGACAACAACAUUUCUCUUCUCUCCAAGGAACGUAUGAGCGCUUCUUCAUGGUGGGUAUUAUUUCCACCUGAGUUUUGUAACUUUUGUUAGGAAAUACUUAUCAAAAUUAAACAAAUGAUGCCAUUCUUACAUGGAUAAAGAUUUCUCUCUGGCCGUAUUGGGGCUUUGCCUCAAGGGAGCAACCAGAGCUGCAAUAGCCUAUGUGAUCCGCUAGGUGGAGCCGCUGGAGAAAGUAUUUGCAUUCAGCGUUUGAAGUGAUGGAAGAAAUAAAUAAUGAGACUCUUGAUGGGUCUGUGGAUAAAGCGAUGACUGUUUGCCUUUUUUGACAACGGUGGUAGAGAUCUCUGGAAUAAAAUAUCAGCUUGACAGCUUCUUAUCUAUCCAGCACAAAAUUAAUUACGUUUCCAGUUAAGCACAUUAAGAGAAAAUAGACUUUUGAUUCAAAUUUAGGCAUGCAUCUUAUUUUAUUUCAUUUGUUUUACCUCAUUUUAUUGAUUUUUUAUUUACAGCAGUUCCUACUUUUCUGAAGGCAAAAAACAGGGGAAAGAAAAUGAAAGAAUAAUCCUCUGUUGUCUUCAUUUGUAUGUAUGAAUGCAGCCUUCCCCGUGAGGUCUCUAUCCUGUUUGGCUUUAAGCCUUCUCAGGCAAGAUAUUACCUCCCUGGUAAUGGAAGCGAUGAACAGCUUGGGCAUAUGUGAGGCUCAAUACAUAUUCAAUGCACAGCAUUGUUCUCCCAUUUAACAAACAUCUUUAUUGAAAGACAACACAUGGGCUCUCUGGAGCCGCGUAGAACAAACACACCCUGAGAUUAAACCAUGGACCACUCCCCAUGUGCCCCGCUCUCAUUCCUCACUCUUACCUACAAAAAUGUUUCAUUUUGUUUGGGAUUAGUUCUGCUUAGAGCUUAUCCAAUCUAAGCUUUGAUUCAGGUAUUUAGCCAAUUGCUAUUGGUAUUAGAAUAUGUUUGUGAACUUUGAUUUUACAUUUUACUGAUGCAGACUCUUUUAUUAGCUAGAGGAGAGGCGCUCCUUCCCUAGUGAGCUCAACCACUAUUAUGGGUAGAUGUGAAUAGUUAUGACCUCUCUGGAGAGUAACGCGGAACAUACAGUGGCAUUUAAAGGGCACGUAUCCUUUGACCCAGCCAUUCCAGGGCUUGGGAUACAACCGACCUGCAUGCUUGCACCAAAAGUCAAAGGCACGUGUGAAGAUUUUUUUUAUUGCAGCCUUGUUCAUAAGAACAAAAGUCUGGAAACAACCUAAACAUCUACCACUAAGGGAUUGAUUGAAUGAAUGAGGGUAUGUCCAUACAAGGGAAUGCACUGUAGUUAUUCAGACAGAUUAAUUACACUGACUUACUGAAACGUCACCCAUAUAUUGACAUCUCUUCAAACAACAUCCAGGAACAGUUAAGCGAAAAAAAUGCAGAAUGGCAUUUGUGACAUGUUACCAUUUGUAUAAAAAGUAAGGAACCAUAGGGACACCUGGGUGGCUCGGUCAGUUAAGCAUCCGACUGUGGCCCAGGUCAUGAUCUCACGGUUUGCGGGUUCAAGCCCCACAUCAGGCUCUGUGCUGACAGCUGGGAGCCUGGAGCCUGCUUCGGAUUCUGCGUCUCCCUCUCUCUCUGCACCUCCCCCACUCGUGCUAUAUCUCUGCUGUCUCUCAACAAUAAAUUAGUGUUAAAAAAAAAUUUAAAAAGUAAGGAGCCAUUAAUUAUGUAGCUACAGGUUUGUGUGGAUGCUUAGAUGGCAUAGAAAAAUCUGGAAAAAUGAGCAAGAAAGUGACAGCUGUUACCGUCAGGAAAGGGAGCCGAGGGGAAGGGGGGGGCAUGUUGUUUCUGUAUAUUGUUCGUCUUCUGUGUGUAUCCUGCAAAGUACAUUAUGUGAAACAAAGUGGGUUCACUCCCUAAAUGAAGCAUCAGCAUCUGGGGCAUCGUCGGGUGGUUCGGGGGUGUCGGUGACCCCUGCGUCCCUGGACCUGGCUGGGCCUCAGGGUGGGCUCUGAGCCGGCUAACACCGAGGAGCAGGGGGAGGCCUUGGCUCUCUGUGCUCUGGGGCCGAGGCCCCGCUUCGCCUCCAGGUUCGGGCUUGUGCACCGGCCUUUCCCUCUGCCCCCACUUGGCCUCCGUGCGGGGUGACAGCUGCUAGGUCGCCACAGGACGGAAGCCUAAUGGGCCCGGGAAGUAGCUUUCCAGCUCUCUGAGGCUCGCUUCUUGGAACAGGCUGAGAGAGCGACAUGAUGGAUGCCUCGACCGCCACCUCCCCGGGAGGACGCAUCGCUAACUUCAUUGCUUAUUGACUCAAGGCCCUGCUGCAAUAUGGUGUGAGGGACGCGGGGAUUUGCUGACUCUUCCAAGGUUACGGGGAUUGUCACUGAAAUGCAUGUGAUGCUCUGAGCCGCCUUCCGACUUUACGCCUCAAGUUUGUGCUCUUCCUUCUUUACAUUUAACGCUGAGUUAGACUCUGGAAAGUUAUGGCUUUGCAAAUCCAGAGCUCUUAAUGCCAGGAGGGCACAGCGCUGGGCGACACGAAUGUUCUAAUUAGACCAUUAGCUCCAUAAUGACCGCAUUAAGAAAGAAGGGAGGGGGUGGAACCCACACAGCGUUCUAACUCUACAGCAAUUGCUGCAAGCGUUUUUUCGAAUUACUGCUGCCCUCAUUUUUUUCAGACCUGCAGCUUGGAUGCGGUGCCUGUCAGAGGUGCUGCUGGCCAUGUGAGCAAUUUGCAGCGAGCAGGUUCGAGCUGGUGCCGCUCCGGUGGGCCGGGUCGGCUGGUCCGUUGCCUUGACCGGCCCAGGCUGUCUCGGGCUAGCUUCUGGUUGGUGUAGUACAGAAUCCUGCCCUUCCCGAGAGGGCUGUUCACCAGAUCUGUGGGGGAGUGGGGACCGCGUGUCACUUAACGGCCGGGGCUACAGUGAUGCCUUUUUAUGGAGUGGACACAACCAAGAUCCCCGCCUUGUCAAGGAUUGGUCCUUUUAACGAAUUACACGUCAAGGCUAACGAGUCCGCUACAACCUUGACUGUAUCUUUCCACGUGAGAUGCGUAGGAUCGGCCAUUCAGCAUACUUUCUCUUGGAGGCACAUUUCUUUGUUUUUCC